CUAGUUGGUGGGGCAACGGCCUACCAAGGCGACGAUCAAUAGCCGACCUGAGAGGGUGACCGGCCACAUUGGGACUGAGACACGGCCCAAACUCCUACGGGAGGCAGCAGUGGGGAAUAUUGCACAAUGGGCGAAAGCCUGAUGCAGCGACGCCGCGUGAGCGAAGAAGUAUUUCGGUAUGUAAAGCUCUAUCAGCAGGGAAGAUAAUGACGGUACCUGACUAAGAAGCACCGGCUAAAUACGUGCCAGCAGCCGCGGUAAUACGUAUGGUGCAAGCGUUAUCCGGAUUUACUGGGUGUAAAGGGAGCGCAGGCGGUGCGGCAAGUCUGAUGUGAAAGCCCGGGGCUCAACCCCGGUACUGCAUUGGAAACUGUCGUACUAGAGUGUCGGAGGGGUAAGCGGAAUUCCUAGUGUAGCGGUGAAAUGCGUAGAUAUUAGGAGGAACACCAGUGGCGAAGGCGGCUUACUGGACGAUAACUGACGCUGAGGCUCGAAAGCGUGGGGAGCAAACAGGAUUAGAUACCCUGGUAGUCCACGCCGUAAACGAUUAAUACUAGGUGUCGGGAGGCAUUGCCUUUCGGUGCCGUCGCAAACGCAGUAAGUAUUCCACCUGGGGAGUACGUUCGCAAGAAUGAAACACAAAGGAAUUGACGGGGACCCGCACAAGCGGUGGAGCAUGUGGUUUAAUUCGAAGCAACGCGAAGAACCUUACCAAGUCUUGACAUCCUUCUGACCGGUACUUAAUCGUACCUUCUCUUCGGAGCAGGAGUGACAGGUGGUGCAUGGUUGUCGUCAGCUCGUGUCGUGAGAUGUUGGGUUAAGUCCCGCAACGAGCGCAACCCUUAUCUUUAGUAGCCAGCGGUUCGGCCGGGCACUCUAGAGAGACUGCCAGGGAUAACCUGGAGGAAGGCGGGGAUGACGUCAAAUCAUCAUGCCCCUUAUGACUUGGGCUACACACGUGCUACAAUGGCGUAAACAAAGGGAAGCAAAGCUGUGAAGCUGAGCAAAUCUCAAAAAUAACGUCUCAGUUCGGACUGUAGUCUGCAACCCGACUACACGAAGCUGGAAUCGCUAGUAAUCGCAGAUCAGAAUGCUGCGGUGAAUACGUUCCCGGGUCUUGUACACACCGCCCGUCACACCAUGGGAGUUGGGAAUGCCCGAAGCCAGUGACCUAACCGUAAGGAAGGAGCUGUCGAAGGCAGGCUCGAUAACUGGGGUGAAGUCGUAACAAGGUAACCGUACUA
rnacentral:rRNA from 1 species